AACGAACGCUGGCGGCGCGCCUAAUACAUGCAAGUCGAACGAGAAGCUGUAGCAAUACAGUUGUACAGUGGCGAACGGGUGAGGAAUACAUGGGUGACCUACCCUCGAGUGGGGAAGUAACCAGCCGAAAGGUUGGCUAAUAACCGCGUACGCUUCCCACGUCUACGGGUUGGGAAGGAAAGACGAUGCCGUCGGGUAGUCGCGCUCAAGGUUGGGCGUCAUGUCCUAUCAGC
rnacentral:rRNA from 1 species